UGGCUGUCUGCUUCCCCUCCCCUGCAGGGCCUGGAACAUCAUGACCUGCAUCGGGUUGGUAAUGGAAGUUGUUCAGAGUGCAGUGGAAGAAUAUUUUUUCUUCCAUGCCUCUCCUCCCCUCAUUCAGCAGCAGUGCUAGAGAGUGACUUUGCAUGAGGUCACACUGAGACCCCAGGAAACCCUCUUGGUCUUCCUGAUCACUGGAGAAGGGAAAAUACACCCCAACUCCUUACAGCUCAUUUUUUCCCUCAUAGGCACAGGAGGAAGCUCGUCGGAACAGGCUCAUGAGAGACAUGGCUCAGCUACGACUUCAGCUCGAAGUGUCUCAGCUGGAGGGCAGCCUGC
rnacentral:ncRNA from 2 species